rnacentral:lncRNA from 10 species
CUUCUGGUCUCUGAAACUCUACAUGGGUAAAUCCUCUAACUUUCUGUUUCUUAAUUUCUUCAUCUGUAAAAUGAGGAUGAUGAUAACAAUGCCAUCUUGAAAGAAUCUUUAUUUCUAUUGCAGAUUGAUUAGGGAUUUUUUGGGAUAUACAGAAGAAAAAGUUCAGCUUAGACAUGCUGCCUAAAAUGAGUUUCAGGGAGUUCAGGAUGCUUGGUUAUGAGAAGGGACAAUCUGCCCAGUUUCCCUCUUUAAAACUCAAGAUAUGUCUCCAUCAAGCCUGGGAAUGCUUUCGUGUAAACAGAUUUUAGUUUUUUCAGUAUCAACCCAGAAAACUGU